ACUAUUUUGGCAGAAUUUAAUGUAUUAAUUUUAGAAAUUAAAUAUAAAUAAUGAUCAAUUAUUUAAAUAGUA
rnacentral:tRNA from 1 species